AGGCAAGCAGAAGCAGGCGUUCUGGAAAUGUAAUGAGCGAUCGUUUUAAGAAAGUUCUUGAAGGAUUCCGGAAUGUAAUUCUUGCAAGUCAGAAAGGGAAACUUCAGAAACAUUUCAGUUGGUUGGAAAGUCUGCUACAACACGUUCGAAAACAUUCAUUAGUAAGGAUACAGUUUGCCAAUGAUACGAGUAAGAC